UGCCAUCAUUCAGUUGGGGCACUCUAGCGAGACUUGCCGGUAAUAAACCGGAGGAAGGUGGGGAUGACGUCAAAUCAUCAUGCCCCUUAUGACCUGGGCUACACACGUGCUACAAUGGCUGGUACAACGAGUCGCAAGCCGGUGACGGCAAGCUAAUCUCUUAAAGCCAGUCUCAGUUCGGAUUGUAGGCUGCAACUCGCCUACAUGAAGUCGGAAUCGCUAGUAAUCGCGGAUCAGCACGCCGCGCGGUGAAUACGUUCCCGGGGCCUUGUACACCACCGCCCGUCACACCACGAGAGUUUGUAACACCCGAAGUCGGUGAGGUAACCGUAAGGAGCCAGCCGCCUAAGGUGGGAUAGAUGAUUGGGGUGAAGUCGUAACAAGGUAGCCGUAUCGGAAGGUGCGGCUGGAUCACCUCCUUUCUAAGGA
rnacentral:rRNA from 1 species